UUAUAAAUGGAAUCCGAGGUAAAGGCUAAAUAAAUAAACUGUACACUACUACGCUGUUUGCAUACAACACACCAUUAUAAUAGUAGCCUAAUUUGAAACAUGUUUAACUUUAAAUUAAUAAGCUGAUAGCUAUACAAUAUUAAAGUGUCAUAGGUAGCUUAGACUAUAUAUCAUGUCAUUACAGCUGUACAGAUUUAAGUAGAAGCAGAUCUUAACAUUGUGAAACACAUGGCCCUCUGUUUCAGAAACGGUCACAUCAGAGAGUGGAGUAGCAACAGACCCCUCAUCAUCCUCUGUGGAUUUGAGACAAGAGAAGCGUCGCAACUGUUGCUCGUGUAAGUAUCCCAGGUCCCGCAUGCAACUCCGUGGAGCCCCACCACCACCACCCGGCCGCCAAACACAACAUGCCGACGGGCCAGCCCUCAGACGCAACCCACAGCCUGACAAAACAGCCCUGCCGUGCAAAUCAAUCAGUGCAAAGACCUCCAUCCAGAAAAACAAGCGGGGAAAACAUGUGAGGUCGUCACAUUGACCGUAAACAAUGACUCAAUGAUUGACCACCUGUUUCGGUCAUGGAAGAAGAUAUCGUGCUAACCCCUUUCGAUCAGCUCUUUUUUAGCACUGCCUCCUCUGUCUCAGGGAUCUCCUUCUAAGGACAUCUAAAUGGUGUCCAUUACCACAUUUCUCAGGGCUCUCAAGCAAUCAGAGUGCAGUAGAGAUAGCAAUUUGCUCCGGUGGUAUUGAUUUUCAGCUAGGCAUUCUGACAAGAUUAUCGCCAUUUUAAUUACAUAACCGUCCACUAAAGAGAUGAGGUAAUGGCCAGUGUGCAGCUUGAGUGGCUAGAAACUCAAAGACCCUUGCACUACCUGAAAAGGAUGCUUUGAUACAGGAACAAAUUAAGGAAAUCUUUGGAACCAACUUCCCCAAAGGUUUAAUCAAGACAGUAUCUAGUAUUUACCCUUAGCCUGGCAGCCCCGGUGACCAUUAUAAAAAGGUCACUGUCAUUAGCAGGGGAAUUCUGAGGUAAUCUGUACUGUGUAAAAUGACAUCAAUGUUUUGUGUGUUUAUCAUGAAACACACCUACAUUAAAGCUGGCUUUAAGCAAACUAAGAAAAGGA